CACUACUAGAUGAAAUCAAACUAAAUAGGAAACUUAGAAAAAGAUUAAACACUUACCCCAAUAAUGCCCUUAAACAACAAAUUAACACGCAAACUCAAUCGAUCCAAUCUCAAAUCAGUCAAAUUAAAACAGAAAACUGGAACAACAAAGUUAAACAAAUUACUAACAAAAACAAAAACUCUCUGUGGAACCUUGCCAGAAACUUAAAAAGAAACACAAUCAACUACACUCUUCCUCCCCUAAUAAAUCCAACAGAUAACACGAAAUUAUACUCAAACUCAGAUAAGGCAAACAUCAUAGCACAAGUCUUUCACAAAGUACACACUAUGAACAACAGUUUAGGACAGUGUUCUUCAACCUGUGUUCCGCGGAACCCUAGGGUUCCACCCAAAGGCUUUCGGGGUUCCGCGAGUCAUUGCUUCAAUUCGAGAGACGUCGGCCGCGCCGCUCUUCAGAAUGCACAUGCGUCAAUCGGAGUUUCAUGUUGAAACAUGUUAUCCAUUCGCAUAGUUGACUUACACUGCACUUAACCUUAAUUUUCAAAAAUAUGUAACUGUACUUGUGGUCGUAGUUUUGUUGUUGUUUUAGGUUUAGACAAGCAAAGAAUCGUUCAGAAAUAUGAUGCUGAAUUGGCUCAAAAGUGGCAAAUUGGAAUCACAAUCCCAAGAACAAUCCUCUUGCUAUCUUGAAAAUUCCAACUGUCUUCCGCCAACAUUAGACUCGACAGAUAUUAUUGGAGAAGAAAAUAAAGCGGGAACAACAAGUCGAAAAAAACGAAAAUAUGAUGAAGAUUACUUGAACUUCGGAUUUACUUGGACUGGUGAUAAAGAUGAGCCAAAUGGACUUUGCGUAAUAUGUGAGCAAGUAGUGAACAACAGCAGUUUAAAUCCUGCAAAGCUGAAGCGACAUUUGGACACUAAACAUCCGACUUUAAAAGGUAAAAGCGAAUAUUUUAAAAGAAAAUGUAAUGAACUAAAUCAGAAAAAGCAUACCUUUGAAAGAUAUGUUCGUGAUGAUAAUAAAAAUCUACUAAAAGCAUCUUAUUUAGUUAGCUUGCGCAUAGCUAAACAAGGCGAAGCUUAUACUAUUGCUGAAAAAUUAAUUAAACCUUGUACGAAAGACUUAACUACAUGCGUAUUCGGCGAAAAAUUUGCAAGCAAAGUCGAUCUCGUCCCAUUGUCUGACACGACGAUUUCACGACGAAUUGAAGAUAUGUCAUAUUUCUGCGAAGCGGUACUAGUAAAUCGUUUGAAAAAUGCUAAAUGUGGAUUUACUUUGCAAAUGGAUGAGUCCACAGAUGUAGCUGGAUUAGCAAUUUUAUUAGUAUUUGUGAGAUACAUACACGAAUCUUCUUUUGAGGAAGAUAUGCUUUUUUGCAAGGCUCUGCCAACUCAAACAACAGGUGAAGAAAUAUUUAAUUUACUUAAUGCUUAUUUUGAAAAACAUUCAAUUCCUUGGAAUUUAUGCUAUCACAUAUGCACUGAUGGAGCCAAAGCUAUGGUGGGUGUUAUAAAGGGCGUAAUAGCACGUAUAAAAAAGCUGGUUCCAGACAUCAAAGCUAGCCAUUGCUGCCUUCAUCGUCAUGCUCUCGCUGUCAAACGGAUACCAAAUGCUUUGCACGAAGUACUCAAUGACGCCGUUAAGAUGAUUAAUUUCAUCAAAUCCAGACCUCUAAAUGCCAGGGUAUUUGCCCUAUUGUGCGAUGAUUUGGGAAGCUUACAUAAAAAUCUCCUUCUUCAUACCGAAGUAAGAUGGUUAUCGAGGGGAAAGGUCCUAACGCGAUUUUGGGAAUUGCGUGAUGAAAUUCGAAUCUUUUUUAAUGAACGUGAAUUUGCUGGAAAACUUAAUGAUACUAGUUGGCUUCAAAAUCUGGCCUACAUUGCAGAUAUAUUUUCAUACCUGAACGAAGUUAAUCUUUCACUUCAGGGACCAAAUUCUACAAUUUUUAAGGUCAAUAGCAGAAUAAACUCGAUAAAAUCUAAACUCAAGCUUUGGGAGGAAUGUAUCACCAAAAAUAAUACGGAAUGUUUUGCUAAUUUAAACGAUUUUUUGGAAACCAGUAAUACUGCAUUAGACCCGAAUUUAAAAAGCAAUAUUUUGGAACAUUUAAAUGGCUUGAAAAACACUUUUUUGGAAUAUUUUCCUCCUACGUGCAACAAUAUUAGUUGGGUCGAAAAUCCGUUUAAUGAGUGUGGUAAUGUGGAUACCCUCCCAAUUAAAGAAAGGGAGCAACUGAAAACAACAGAAAAAAUUCUGUUUACGUCGCAACAAAAACCAAGUACAGAAAUAGACUUGACGCUGAGGAUGAUAUGCGUCUCCAAUUAACAACGAUCCAUCCCGAUAUUGAUAAUUUGUGCAAUAAUAAGCAAGCGCAAAAAAGUCAUUAAUUUUUAUUUUUUAUUUUAUAUAUUAUUUUAUUUGGAAUAUUUAUCUUUUUGUUUAAAGUUUGUUUAAAUAAAUGCAAAUUUAAAUCUUA